rnacentral:rRNA from 1 species
ACGUAGGGGGCAAGCGUUGCUCGGAAUUACUGGGCGUAAAGGGUGUGUAGGUGGCUGAUUAAGUUAAGGAUGAAAUCCCGAGGCUCAACUUCGGAACUGUCCUUGAUACUGGUCAGCUUGAGGCUAGUAAAGGAGAGCGGAAUUCCCGGUGGGGCGUUUAAGUGCGUAGAGAUCGGGAUGAACACCAGAGGCGUAGGGGGUACUCGAGGCUAGUCCUGACGCUGGGACACGUAAGCUAGGUGAGAGGAGGG